rnacentral:rRNA from 1 species
CUUGACUGUAGCCUGGAAUUGGGUUCGGGCUUUUCUUGCGCAGACUAGGUGGGAGGCUAUGAAGAUUUCCUUCCGGGGGAGUUGGAGCCAUCAGUGAGAGACCACUCUGGAGAGGCUAGAAUCCUAAUGGUGAUCCUUGAAUCAGGACACUUGACAGUUUCAGGUGGGCAGUUUUUCUGGGGCGGAAGCCUCAUAAAGGGUAACUGAGGCGCGCAAAGGUCCCCUCAGUCUGGACGGAAAUCAGACAACGAGUGUAAAGGCAAAAGGGGGCUUGACUGCAAGACCUACAAGUCGAGCAGGAGCGAAAGCUGGCCUUAGUGAUCCGACGGUACCGUGUGGAAGGGCCGUCGCUCAACGAGUAAAAGUUA